GAGAAAGGGAUAGUAGUUAUUUUCAUCUUAUAGUAUCCCGUCUGUUUAUGCCAUCACACCAAACUCUUUGUCACUCAUUGUCAUAUUAAACUUGAUCUGGGAUCAGGUUUAGUGUCUAAAGCACUCAAUACGUUACGGUAAUCAUUGUUGAAAUCGGGGAGUGGACUUUGAAUCUGUCUCCGUCUGUUCGUACAUACGUACAUCAGACAGAAAUUGGGGUGAAUGAUGUGUCUUGACCUAGAGAUCCGGCAUUUACAAAAUUACCCUGAUUAGGCCUCAGGGGGGCGCUAUAGUAAUAUCUCUGCUGAUCCUACAGCUAUUGUAUGCAGUAAUCAUAUGCCUAUGAACCAGAUUUAUACUGUUAUCACUGAGGCGGUGUGUCCUAGGAGGAAGUCCACUGUGUGCAGCUCACCCUGCACUAAAAUAAAUAACAUGAGCAUAUCUACUUCUGAUAAGCUUCCCAGUAAAAGCAAUGAAAACAAGUAAGCAACCCAGAAGAAAAGUGCUCAAAACAGCCCAUGUCAACAUAAGAAACGAGGUUCAUCAAAUCAAUCAUUUGCUAUUAACAGAUACAUCUCUGAAACUCACUUAGAUAAAACCCUUGAUGAUAUAAGUGGUAGCAAUAAAAGGUUAGAACAUCUACAGAAAAUACAGAAAUGACAAAGGUGGAGGUGCAGUUUAUAUGCAGAAACACAUUCCUGUAAAGAUUAGAGAGGAUCUCAUGUUAAAUACUGUUGAAGUAAUAUGACUACAGAUUAAUCUGCCUCAAGCACAUUCUGGUGGUAAGCUGCUAUAGACCACUAAGUGCUAACAGUCAGUAUCUGGAUAAUGUUAAAUACUGUUGAAGUAAUAUGGCUACAGGUUCAUCUGCCUCACCAAAGCCCAUUCUGGUGGGAAGCUGCUAUAGACCACCAAUUGCUAACAAUCAGUAUGCUUGAUAGUGUAUGUGAUAUCAACAGAGAGGUAUAUUUUCUGGGGUGAUUUAAAUAUUGACUGGCUUUCAUAAUAAUAAUAAUAAUAAAUGCCAUUUAGCUGACGCUUUUAUCCAAAGCGACUUACAGUCAUGUGUGCAUACAUUCUACGUAUGGGUGGUCCCGGGAAUCGAACCAACUACCCUGGCGUUACAAGCGCCAUGCUCUACCAACUGAGCCACAGAAGGACCACAGCUGCCCACUCAAGAAAAAGCUUCAAACUGUAACCAGUGCCUGCAGCCUGGUUCAGGUUAUCAGUCAACCUACCAGGUUAGUUACAAACAGCACAGGAAUGACAUCAUCAACAUGUAUUGAUCACAUCUUUUACUAAUGCUGCAGAAAUUAGCUUGAAAAGCAUCAUAUCCAGAUCCAUAGGAGGCAGUGAUCACAACAUAGUAGGCUUGUCUAUGAAAACCAAAGUUCCAAAGGCGGGGCCUAAUAUAGUGUAUCAGAGAUCAUGAGGCCUAAUAUAGUGUAUCAGAGGUCAUGGGGCCUAAUAUAGUGUAUCAGAGGUCAUGGGGCCUAAUAUAGUGUAUCAGAGGUCAUGGGGCCUAACAUAGUGUAUCAGAGGUCAUGGGGCCUAACAUAGUGUAUCAGAGGUCAUGGGGCCUAACAUAGUGUAUCAGAGGUCAUGGGGCCUAAUAUAGUGUAUCAGAGGUCAUGGGGCCUAAUAUAGUGUAUCAGAGGUCAUGGGGCCUAAUAUAGUGUAUCAGAGGUCAUGGGGCCUAAUAUAGUGUAUCAGAGGUCAUGGGGCCUAAUAUAGUGUAUCAGAGGUCAUGGGGCCUAAUAUAGUGUAUCAGAGGUCAUGGGGCGUAAUAUAGUGUAUCAGAGGUCAUGGGGCGUAAUAUAGUAUAUCAGAGGUCAUUACAAUCCGUUUUGUAGUGAUUCCUAUGUUGUUGAUGUAAAUAAUAUUUGUUGGUCUGUGGUGUGUAAUGAGGAGCAACCAGACGCUGCUGGUCUGUGGUGUGUAAUGAGGAGCAACCAGACGCUGCUGGUCUGUAAUGAGGAGCAACCAGACGCUGUUGGUCUGUGGUGUGUAAUGAGGAGCAACCAGACGCUGCUGGUCUGUGGUGUGUAAUGAGGAGCAACCAGACGCUGCUGGUCUGUGGUGUGUAAUGAGGAGCAACCAGACGCUGUUGGUCUGUGGUGUGUAAUGAGGAGCAACCAGACGCUGCUGGUCUGUGGUGUGUAAUGAGGAGCAACCAGACGCUGCUGGUC